rnacentral:rRNA from 1 species
GGUUAAGCGACUAAGCGUACACGGUGGAUGCCCUGGCAGUCAGAGGCGAUGAAGGACGUGCUAAUCUGCGAUAAGCGUCGGUAAGGUGAUAUGAACCGUUAUAACCGGCGAUUUCCGAAUGGGGAAACCCAGUGUGAUUCGUCACACUAUCAUUAACUGAAUCCAUAGGUUAAUGAGGCGAACCGGGGGAACUGAAACAUCUAAGUACCCCGAGGAAAAGAAAUCAACCGAGAUUCCCCCAGUAGCGGCGAGCGAACGGGGAGCAGCCCAGAGCCUGAAUCAGUGUGUGUGUUAGUGGAAGCGUCUGGAAAGGCGCGCGAUACAGGGUGACAGCCCCGUACACAAAAAUGCACAUGCUGUGAGCUCGAUGAGUAGGGCGGGACACGUGGUAUCCUGUCUGAAUAUGGGGGGACCAUCCUCCAAGGCUAAAUACUCCUGACUGACCGAUAGUGAACCAGUACCGUGAGGGAAAGGCGAAAAGAACCCCGGCGAGGGGAGUGAAAAAGAACCUGAAACCGUGUACGUACAAGCAGUGGGAGCACGCUUAGGCGUGUGACUGCGUACCUUUUGUAUAAUGGGUCAGCGACUUAUAUUCUGUAGCAAGGUUAACCGAAUAGGGGAGCCGAAGGGAAACCGAGUCUUAACUGGGCGUUAAGUUGCAGGGUAUAGACCCGAAACCCGGUGAUCUAGCCAUGGGCAGGUUGAAGGUUGGGUAACACUAACUGGAGGACCGAACCGACUAAUGUUGAAAAAUUAGCGGAUGACUUGUGGCUGGGGGUGAAAGGCCAAUCAAACCGGGAGAUAGCUGGUUCUCCCCGAAAGCUAUUUAGGUAGCGCCUCGUGAAUUCAUCUCCGGGGGUAGAGCACUGUUUCGGCAAGGGGGUCAUCCCGACUUACCAACCCGAUGCAAACUGCGAAUACCGGAGAAUGUUAUCACGGGAGACACACGGCGGGUGCUAACGUCCGUCGUGAAGAGGGAAACAACCCAGACCGCCAGCUAAGGUCCCAAAGUCAUGGUUAAGUGGGAAACGAUGUGGGAAGGCCCAGACAGCCAGGAUGUUGGCUUAGAAGCAGCCAUCAUUUAAAGAAAGCGUAAUAGCUCACUGGUCGAGUCGGCCUGCGCGGAAGAUGUAACGGGGCUAAACCAUGCACCGAAGCUGCGGCAGCGACGCUUAUGCGUUGUUGGGUAGGGGAGCGUUCUGUAAGCCUGUGAAGGUGUGCUGUGAGGCAUGCUGGAGGUAUCAGAAGUGCGAAUGCUGACAUAAGUAACGAUAAAGCGGGUGAAAAGCCCGCUCGCCGGAAGACCAAGGGUUCCUGUCCAACGUUAAUCGGGGCAGGGUGAGUCGACCCCUAAGGCGAGGCCGAAAGGCGUAGUCGAUGGGAAACAGGUUAAUAUUCCUGUACUUGGUGUUACUGCGAAGGGGGGACGGAGAAGGCUAUGUUGGCCGGGCGACGGUUGUCCCGGUUUAAGCGUGUAGGCUGGUUUUCCAGGCAAAUCCGGAAAAUCAAGGCUGAGGCGUGAUGACGAGGCACUACGGUGCUGAAGCAACAAAUGCCCUGCUUCCAGGAAAAGCCUCUAAGCAUCAGGUAACAUCAAAUCGUACCCCAAACCGACACAGGUGGUCAGGUAGAGAAUACCAAGGCGCUUGAGAGAACUCGGGUGAAGGAACUAGGCAAAAUGGUGCCGUAACUUCGGGAGAAGGCACGCUGAUAUGUAGGUGAAGUCCCUCGCGGAUGGAGCUGAAAUCAGUCGAAGAUACCAGCUGGCUGCAACUGUUUAUUAAAAACACAGCACUGUGCAAACACGAAAGUGGACGUAUACGGUGUGACGCCUGCCCGGUGCCGGAAGGUUAAUUGAUGGGGUUAGCGCAAGCGAAGCUCUUGAUCGAAGCCCCGGUAAACGGCGGCCGUAACUAUAACGGUCCUAAGGUAGCGAAAUUCCUUGUCGGGUAAGUUCCGACCUGCACGAAUGGCGUAAUGAUGGCCAGGCUGUCUCCACCCGAGACUCAGUGAAAUUGAACUCGCUGUGAAGAUGCAGUGUACCCGCGGCAAGACGGAAAGACCCCGUGAACCUUUACUAUAGCUUGACACUGAACAUUGAGCCUUGAUGUGUAGGAUAGGUGGGAGGCUUUGAAGUGUGGACGCCAGUCUGCAUGGAGCCGACCUUGAAAUACCACCCUUUAAUGUUUGAUGUUCUAACGUUGACCCGUGAUCCGGGUUGCGGACAGUGUCUGGUGGGUAGUUUGACUGGGGCGGUCUCCUCCUAAAGAGUAACGGAGGAGCACGAAGGUUGGCUAAUCCUGGUCGGACAUCAGGAGGUUAGUGCAAUGGCAUAAGCCAGCUUGACUGCGAGCGUGACGGCGCGAGCAGGUGCGAAAGCAGGUCAUAGUGAUCCGGUGGUUCUGAAUGGAAGGGCCAUCGCUCAACGGAUAAAAGGUACUCCGGGGAUAACAGGCUGAUACCGCCCAAGAGUUCAUAUCGACGGCGGUGUUUGGCACCUCGAUGUCGGCUCAUCACAUCCUGGGGCUGAAGUAGGUCCCAAGGGUAUGGCUGUUCGCCAUUUAAAGUGGUACGCGAGCUGGGUUUAGAACGUCGUGAGACAGUUCGGUCCCUAUCUGCCGUGGGCGCUGGAGAACUGAGGGGGGCUGCUCCUAGUACGAGAGGACCGGAGUGGACGCAUCACUGGUGUUCGGGUUGUCAUGCCAAUGGCACUGCCCGGUAGCUAAAUGCGGAAGAGAUAAGUGCUGAAAGCAUCUAAGCACGAAACUUGCCCCGAGAUGAGUUCUCCCUGACUCCUUGAGAGUCCUGAAGGAACGUUGAAGACGACGACGUUGAUAGGCCGGGUGUGUAAGCGCAGCGAUGCGUUGAGCUAACCGGUACUAAUGAACCGUGAGGCUUAACCUU